rnacentral:rRNA from 1 species
AGUGAACGCUGGCGGUAGGCCUAACACAUGCAAGUCGAACGGCAGCACAGUAAGAGCUUGCUCUUACGGGUGGCGAGUGGCGGACGGGUGAGGAAUACAUCGGAAUCUACUUUUUCGUGGGGGAUAACGUAGGGAAACUUACGCUAAUACCGCAUACGACCUACGGGUGAAAGCAGGGGAUCUUCGGACCUUGCGCGAUUGAAUGAGCCGAUGUCGGAUUAGCUAGUUGGCGGGGUAAAGGCCCACCAAGGCGACGAUCCGUAGCUGGUCUGAGAGGAUGAUCAGCCACACUGGAACUGAGACACGGUCCAGACUCCUACGGGAGGCAGCAGUGGGGAAUAUUGGACAAUGGGCGCAAGCCUGCUCCAGCCAUACCGCGUGGGUGAAGAAGGCCUUCGGGUUGUAAAGCCCUUUUGUUGGGAAAGAAAAGCAGCAGGUUAAUACCCCGCUGUUCUGACGGUACCCAAAGAAUAAGCACCGGCUAACUUCGU